CAUUGGUUGUAAUGGAACUGCUUUUAAUUCUUCGUAAGUCACGUGAAGAUAAGGUCGAUCAAGGAGAAUCGAGUGUGUUGCAGACCGAGGCAGGCAGGUGGGUGGCCCUGGGCGGGUCAGGUCACGUGCAAAAUCUUGUGGGCGGCAGCAGGUAUAUAAUGGUGCCAGGUGUAGCUGGAUAGUCAGUGGUGAUCCAGCCUUCGACGAAGUCACUCCUCUCUCACUUAUAAAAUAUGAAGGUGAUCGUACUGGCGUGUCUGGUGGGCGUGGCUCUCUGUGCCCCACAACAGCAGUUCUCACAGCAGCCCGCUCAGGAGAUCUUGGACACCCCCGACCCUUACGCUUUUAGCCUAAACGUAGCUGAUGAUGAGUUCACCAACUACCAAUCCCGCCAAGAGAGUCAGGACGAGAAUGGGUUAGUGCAGGGCUCCUACUCUUUCGUCGCCCCCAACGGCAUCCGCUACACCACCACCUACACCGCCGACCCUAUCAACGGAUACAAUGCCAACACAGUGGAAGAACAGACCAACAUCGAGGUGGUGAUCCCCGUCCACCCACCUUUCGAGCAGUCCCGUGCUCUGUAAAUCCCCACCACUACCACCUCUCUCCAGUUUCCUCAUCAACACCCUUAGUUGACCGACUUUCACAACCACACCAUGGAAGCCAAUCCCUACCAUCAACCAAGCUUCUACACCUCUCGUCUUCCCUUGUCCGUCCAUGUUACUCAACCAUGCAUAAUAUUUAUGCUACUAUUAAGAAAAUUUCAAGGAUAAGAAUGUGACAAUAACCGAACGUUCUCUCAAUAUCUCAAAAGAGUAGCUGAAUGCCUGUAUUCUAUUUCUCCUACCUUUAAAUUACUCAGUCGUGCCAUAAUACUCUACCAAUGUAAACUAUUUCCACAUGCUUUCAAAAUCACAAUUUCUCUUUUCCACGGUGCAUUUCCAGAUAUAGUUAUUAACAGAUUUUGGAGAAUAACAUAGGCGAGUUUGAAGGAGAUCGCGAGUCCUGAUCAGUCUUGUCUAAUGUAAAUAUUGUAUAUAACUCAUGACGUCAUGAAUAAGUAAUUAUUCAACGAGGUUUUGAUUAUUUUGGUUACUUGCAUGAUUUGGGAAGGACUGGUUUUACGAAUAUUCUAUUAUCCGAUUAUAUUUAAGUAAUACUUUGUUACAUAUUCCUUAUUUUUUUCUAUGAUCUUUAACCUUACAACUUGUAAUUUCUUAUUUCUUUUAUCAUUGUAUGGUAAUUGCUAAUUUUCUUUAUUUACUUGUUUAUCUUUCCUUUAUUCUCUCAUCCUGAUCUUGGCCUCAUAGUUUUUGUUUUAAAUUACUUAACUUUUAGGUACUGUACUGUAUAUUGUCUUCCUCAAUUUUAAGCACUUGUGCACGUUUUCUAUUUUCACCGCGCUCUGUGUGCAUCAUGUGUACAAGUGUGUGAGUGUGUAUGUGUGUGUGUGGGGGGUAAAGAUGAGUGUACACAAACCAUCACGACUUGUAGCGCCUCGCGCCCCCCCCUCAGUCAUUUGUAGUCGGUUUACCUCGGCUCGGCUUGCUGCUCGUGUUGUGAGUUAGUACAAAUAAACCUUGGCUUGCAUA